rnacentral:piRNA from 1 species
CUGGGAGAAAUACUUGCCUGCUGGGCUG